UACGGAGGGUGCAAGCGUUAAUCGGAAUUACUGGGCGUAAAGCGCACGCAGGUGGCUGAGUCAGUCGAUUGUGAAAGCCCUGGGCUUAACCUGGGAAUUGCAGUCGAUACUACUCAGCUAGAGUAUGGGAGAGGGUAGUGGAAUUCCCGGUGUAGCGGUGAAAUGCGUAGAUAUUCGGAAGAACACCAGUGGCGAAGGCGGCUCACUGGCCCGGUACUGACGCUGAGAUACGAAAGCGUGGGGAGCAAACAGG
rnacentral:rRNA from 1 species